UACGUAGGGUGCGAGCGUUGUCCGGAAUCACUGGGCGUAAAGAGCUCGUAGGUGGUUUGUCGCGUUGUUCGUGAAAUCUCACGGCUUAACUGUGAGCGUGCGGGCGAUACGGGCAGACUUGAGUACUGCAGGGGAGACUGGAAUUCCUGGUGUAGCGGUGGAAUGCGCAGAUAUCAGGAGGAACACCGGUGGCGAAGGCGGGUCUCUGGGCAGUAACUGACGCUGAGGAGCGAAAGCGUGGGGAGCGAACAGG
rnacentral:rRNA from 1 species